rnacentral:rRNA from 1 species
GAUGAACGCUGGCGACGUGCCUAAUACAUGCAAGUCGAGCGAACGGACGAGAAGCUUGCCUCUCUGAUGUUAGCGGCGGACGGGUGAGUAACACGUGGAUAACCUACCUAUAAGACUGGGAUAACUUCGGGAAACCGGAGCUAAUACCGGAUAAUAUUUUGAACCGCAUGGUUCAAAAGUGAAAGACGGUCUUGCUGUCACUUAUAGAUGGAUCCGCGCUGCAUUAGCUAGUUGGUAAGGUAACGGCUUACCAAGGCAACGAUGCAUAGCCGACCUGAGAGGGUGAUCGGCCACACUGGAACUGAGACACGGUCCAGACUCCUACGGGAGGCAGCAGUAGGGAAUCUUCCGCAAUGGGCGAAAGCCUGACGGAGCAACGCCGCGUGAGUGAUGAAGGUCUUCGGAUCGUAAAACUCUGUUAUUAGGGAAGAACAUAUGUGUAAGUAACUGUGCACAUCUUGACGGUACCUAAUCAGAAAGCCACGGCUAACUACGUG